AUCUUCAUCUAGUAAUUGUGAUCUAGCAGCAUUGGUGAACCUUUUAGAGAUUCUGUGCACAAACUACACCUUCAAGCUGCCUGUGAGCCCCCAGCAUUGCCCAAGACAACAGAAGGAGGAAGUGCACAUUGGGCAGCUGGGCAGAGGAGUGGAGCAUGCAAAAAAUGAGCAGCCCUCUCCAGCACCCCAGGGCAUGGGUACCACAUCUUUGCCAACACAGUCGUAUGGUAUCUCAGUAUUACAGGUCCAGCACUCUAUCCCCUGAACCACUUAGCUGGAUUCUAGAGAUGCCUUAUGAAGUUUUAAAGAGAUGAACUCAGGAGGUAGUAACAGAAAG
rnacentral:lncRNA from 1 species